UACGGAGGGGGCUAGCGUUGUUCGGAAUUACUGGGCGUAAAGCGCACGUAGGUGGUUUGUUAAGUUGGAUGUGAAAGCCCCGGGCUCAACCUGGGAACUGCAUCCAAAACUGGCAAGCUAGAGUACGGUAGAGGGUGGUGGAAUUUCCUGUGUAGCGGUGAAAUGCGUAGAUAUAGGAAGGAACACCAGUGGCGAAGGCGACUACCUGGACUGAUACUGACACUGAGGUGCGAAAGCGUGGGGAGCAAACAGG
rnacentral:rRNA from 1 species